rnacentral:rRNA from 1 species
UACAGAGGGUGCGAGCGUUAAUCGGAAUUACUGGGCGUAAAGCGCGCGUAGGCGGCUUUGCAAGUCGGGUGUGAAAUCCCCAGGCUUAACCUGGGAACUGCAUUCGAGACUGCAUUGCUAGAGUAUGGGAGAGGGAAGUGGAAUUUCCGGUGUAGCGGUGAAAUGCGUAGAUAUCUGGAGGAACACCGGUGGCGAAGGCGGCGUUCUGGACUGCAACUGACACUGUAAAACGAAAGCCAGGGGAGCAAACGGG